rnacentral:rRNA from 1 species
UACGUAGGGUGCAAGCGUUGUCCGGAAUUAUUGGGCGUAAAGAGCUCGUAGGCGGUUUGUCGCGUCUGCUGUGAAAACCCGAGGCUCAACCUCGGGCCUGCAGUGGGUACGGGCAGACUAGAGUGCGGUAGGGAGAUUUGGAAUUCCUGGUGUAGCGGUGGAAUGCGCAGAUAUCAGGAGGAACACCAAUGGCGAAGGCAGAUCUCUGGGCCGUAACUGACGCUGAGGGAGCGAAAGCAUGGGAGCGAACAGGAUAGAA